rnacentral:rRNA from 1 species
CCUACGGGGGGCUGCAGUGGGGAAUAUUGGACAAUGGGGGCAACCCUGAUCCAACCAUGCCGCGUGUGUGAAGAAGGCCCUCGGGUUGUAAAGCACUUUCAGUGAGGAAGAACGCCUGGUGGUUAAUACCCAUCAGGAAAGACAUCACUCACAGAAGAAGCACCGGCUAACUCCGUGCCAGCAGCCGCGGUAAUACGGAGGGUGCGAGCGUUAAUCGGAAUUACUGGGCGUAAAGCGCGCGUAGGUGGCUUGAUAAGCCGGUUGUGAAAGCCCCGGGCUCAACCUGGGAACGGCAUCCGGAACUGUCAAGCUAGAGUGCAGGAGAGGAAGGUAGAAUUCCCGGUGUAGCGGUGAAAUGCGUAGAGAUCGGGAGGAAUACCAGUGGCGAAGGCGGCCUUCUGGACUGACACUGACACUGAGGUGCGAAAGCGUGGGUAGCAAACAGGAUUAGAUACCCUGGUAGUC